CCCCAUGUGUCUCAAUCCCCUAGCCCCCCCUAUGUGUCUCAAUCCCCCAGGCCAACAUAUGUGUCCCCUCUCCCUGGUCUAACAGGAAGCAGUUCAGCACUCUCUGUGCUCACUUCCUGUCAGACUGGCCCGGUAGAGGGAAAAAAAAGCUUCUCUCCCGCGGUCCAUGCUUGGCCACGCUACAUACAGAGACCGGCAGCAGGGAAACUCUGUGCUGUGCUCUCCUCCUGCCGGUCACCCAAAUCCUGUGCCUCAGGGCUGGUGCGCCCUAGGGCAACCGUCUG